AACAGUGUGGCUGAGUGGGUAGGGUGCCAGGCUUGAAACCAGGUGGUUGCUGAAUUGUGUACUGCUGUUGUGU